rnacentral:rRNA from 1 species
GCGUAGAGGGCUCGCAGGCGGUUUCUUAAGUCUGAUGUGAAAGCCCCCGGCUCAACCGGGGAGGGUCAUUGGAAACUGGGAAACUUGAGUGCAGAAGAGGAGAGUGGAAUUCCACGUGUAGCGGUGAAAUGCGUAGAGAUGUGGAGGAACACCAGUGGCGAAGGCGACUCUCUGGUCUGUAACUGACGCUGAGGAGCGAAAGCGUGGGGAGCGAACAGGAUUAGAUACCCUGGUAGUCCACGCCGUAAACGAUGAGUGCUAAGUGUUAGGGGGUUUCCGCCCCUUAGUGCUGCAGCUAACGCAUUAAGCACUCCGCCUGGGGAGUACGGUCGCAAGACUGAAACUCAAAGGAAUUGACGGGGGCCCGCACAAGCGGUGGAGCAUGUGGUUUAAUUCGAAGCAACGCGAAGAACCUUACCAGGUCUUGACAUCCUCUGACAACCCUAGAGAUAGGGCUUUCCCUUCGGGGACAGAGUGACAGGUGGUGCAUGGUUGUCGUCAGCUCGUGUCGUGAGAUGUUGGGUUAAGUCCCGCAACGAGCGCAACCCUUGAUCUUAGUUGCCAGCAUUUAGUUGGGCACUCUAAGGUGACUGCCGGUGACAAACCGGAGGAAGGUGGGGAUGACGUCAAAUCAUCAUGCCCCUUAUGACCUGGGCUACACACGUGCUACAAUGGACAGAACAAAGGGCUGCAAGACCGCAAGGUUUAGCCAAUCCC